GCGAAGACAGCACGCCCUACGAUUGGGGCGUGAUGCGAUGGGGGCAACGCGAUACGUGAUGCCCAGGCAGACGUGCCCUCAGCCUAAUAGCCUCGGGCGCAACUUGCGUUCAAAGACUCGAUGGAUCACGGGAUUUUGCAAUUCACACCAAGUAUUGCAUUUCGCUAUGUUCUUUAUCGAUGCGAUUGCCGAGAUAUCCAUUGCCGGGGGUGCGGCCAAAGCCCAGGCUCUCGAUACGCUCGUGGAAUGCCGUCUGCUCGAUAAUGGUAGGCAGCGCGCACCUCCGGCGUGCUUCGGCAUCUGCACGCUCUAGACGCUGGCCUGUGGGCUCCCCAUUCGACCCGUCUUGAAACACGGACCAAGGAGUCUGACAUGUGUGCGAGUCAACGGGCGAGUAAACCCGUAAGGCGCAAGGAAGCUGAUUGGUGGAAUCCCUCCAAGGGGUGCACCGCCGACCGACCUUGAUCUUCUGAGAAGGGUUCGAGUGUGAGCAUACCUGUUGGGACCCAAAAGAUGGUGAACUAUGCCUGAGCGGGGCGAAGACAAAGGAAACUCUGGUAGAGGCCUACAGUGAUACUGACGUGCAAAUCGUUUNAAAUCGUUCGUCUGACUUGGGUAUAGGGGCGAAAGACUAAUCGAACCGUCUAGUAGCUGGUUCCCUCCGAAGUUUCCCUCAGGAUAGCUGGAGCUCGCGUGCGAGUUCUAUCAGGUAAAGCCAAUUAUUAGAGGCCUCGGGGGCGCAACGCCCUCGACCUAUUCUCAAACCUUAAAUAGGUAGGACGGCGCGGCUGCUUGGUUGAGCCGCGCCACAGAAUCAAGAGCUCAAAGUGGGCCAUAUUUGGUAAGCAGAACUGGCGAUGCGGGAUGAACCGGAAGCCGGGUUACGGUGCCAAACUGCGCGCUAACCUAGAUCCCACAAAGGGUGUUGGUCGAUUAAGACAGCAGGACGGUGGUCAUGGAAGUCGAAAUCUGCUAAGGAGUGUAUAACAACUCACCUGCCAAAUCAACUAGCCCCGAAAAUAGAUGGUGCUUAAGCUCGCGACCUACACUCGGCCAUUGGGGAAAGUGCCAGGCCCCGAUGAGUAGGAGGGCGCGGUGGUCACUGCAAAACCUUGGGCGCACGCCCGGGCGGAGCAGCCGUCGGUGCAGAUCUCUGUGGUAGUAGCAAAUAUUCAAAUGAGAAGUUUAAAGGCUGAAUAGGGGAAAGGUUCCAUGUGAACGACACUUGCACAUGGGUUAGUCGAUCCUAAGGGUCGGGGAAACCCCGACAGACAGCACAUUUCGCGCGUGCUCCGAAAGGGAAUCGGGUUAAAAUUCUUGAACCGGGACAUGGCGGUUGACGACAACGUUAGGAAGUUCGGAGACAUCGGCGGGAGCCUCGGGAAGAGUUAUCUUUUCUGUUUAACAGCCUACCCACCCUGGAAUCGGCUCAGCCGGAGGUAGGGUCCAGCAGCUGGAAAAGCACCGCACGUCGCGUGGUAUUCGAUGCCGUCCCGGUGGCCCUUGAAAAUCCAGAGGACCGAAUGCCGUCCACGCCCAGUCGUACUAAUAACCGCAUCAGGUCUCCAAGGUGAACAACCUCUGGUCGAUGGAACAAUGUAGGCAAGGGAAGUCGGCAAAAUGUAUCCGUAACUUUGGGAAAGGAUUGGCUCUGAGGGCUGGGCACGAGGGUCCCGGUCCCAAACAUGUCAGCUGUCGGCAGACUACUCGAGCGGCUCCCGCAGCGAGAGCGGGUCGCCGCAUUCCGGUCGGGGGACGGACUAGGAACGGUUCCUUCGGGGGCCUUUCCCGCGCGUCGAACAGCCAACUCAGAACUGGUACAGACAAAGGGAAUCCGACUGUUUAAUUAAAACAAAGCAUUGAGAUGGUCCCAACGGAUGCUCACGCAAUGUGAUUUCUGCCCAGUGCUCUGAAUGUUUAAGUGAAGAAAUUCAAUUAAGCGCGGGUAAACGGCGGGAGUAACUAUGACUCUCUUAAGGUAGCCAAAUGCCUCGUCAUCAAAUUAGUGAUGCGCAUGAAUGGAUUAAUGAGAUUCCCACUGUCCCUGUCUACUAUCCAGCGAAACCACAACCAAGGGAAUGGGCUUGGUAGAAUCAGUGGGGAAAGAAGACCCUGUUGAGCUUGACUCUAGUACUGAUGAUAGGCGAAUUUACGCGCCUAUAUCAAUAUAUUUAGCCCAUAUUUUAGCCUAGUUUUGAGAACUAAUUAUC
rnacentral:rRNA from 1 species